CCCGGGCUACGGGACAGCCCCACAGGGCUGGACGCACGCUGUUGUCAGUCUUUUCUGUAACAAAUGAUGAUUCAAUAGGUCAGCUUGGAACUUGUCAUUAUAUAUGCGCGCAGGAGCAGCCACAGGGUGAAUUCCCAGCAGCCAGAUUGCUGGGUGAAGUAAGUGCAUUGACACUUCUGAUAGAUGAGAAAUCCCUGUCCACUGUCGCUUCCUUUGCCCAGUGGACCUCCUCCCAGCAAGGGCUGGGCGCCGCUUCCGCAGCCGAACAUGCUGGAAAACUCUGGGGGUUUUGCCAAUCUGAAACAAUGAUUCUCCAGAGCAUUUGACUACUGAGAUCUUUCCCCCUGAGCCUUCCCGGGACUUACUGCUCCAUGGACACAUUUUCUGAAAUGCCCUUGGAGAUUAUGAUGCCUUCAGAGGACGUCUCAUGCCCAUCUUCUAAGGACAGACUGGAAACAAUAAGGUUGUAAGCUUCUGAGGACUAAGACCAGGUGCAAACCAGGGUCCCACACUGCAGUCAGUUGUCAUUUCUCCUUAGUGUCCUCCAAGUAUCGCGGCAAACUUUAAAAAUAACCAUGACAGUAACAACACUUUACGUUUCCAGGAUGCUGCACCAUCCCUCAUCCUAGGGCUGAAGGAGUCUGUCUCGCAGUGGAUCAUCUCAGAAGUCAAAGAUCUGGGAAAUAAUGUCUCUGGCACGAAGCUCUUUGAUAACUUCCCUGUAUUAGUGAGACUUGCCAACAAUCAGGAGACAGUGAGAUUUCUCCAAUUUGUGGGGCAAUUUAAUAUUAGAAAAGCAAUAAAUAUAUACUGUACAUCUUCAUACAGAGAUCAGCAAAUAAACCAACACAUCAACAAAUAAAUAUCUACAGUUUACUAGGAAUGCC
rnacentral:lncRNA from 1 species